GACGUAGGGCGCGAGCGUUGUCCGGAUUUAUUGGGCGUAAAGAGCUCGUAGGCGGCUCGUCGCGUCGGCUGUGAAAACCCGCGGCUUAACUGUGGGCUUGCAGCUGAUACGGGCGGGCUAGAGUUCGGUAGGGGAGACUGGAAUUCCUGGUGUAGCGGUGAAAUGCGCAGAUAUCAGGAGGAACACCGGUGGCGAAGGCGGGUCUCUGGGCCGAUACUGACGCUGAGGAGCGAAAGCGUGGGGAGCGAACAGG
rnacentral:rRNA from 1 species